CAUUUAACAAGCACAUGAAGAAAAUUUCAUUUAAAAAUACUUAUUUUUCUAAAAGUUAUGAAGAAUCAAAGUUGUGGUGUGGGGUUGCACACAUGUACAGGUAUGCGAGAAUAUGAUGACUACAAUGACGAUAAAAAGGACAACAAUGAGGAAUUAAUAUAUCUAGGAAUAUGUUAUUCCGUGUGUCCUUUCUAUCGUGAGAGUGAAAUCUGAAAAAUAUUAGGAGACUACUUCAAAGAAGGUGAGAGAGACCAGUAGGAGACAAGGCAGUGUCCAUGACCUUUUACAGGGCCUUCCGAAACUGGAAGGAGGGAUUGAGAAAGAUAUCCUGAAACCGGAAACCUGGCCCCAUUGCUUGCUACAGACUGGAUUCAGUUAAAAGAACUGAAGGUGCCAGGUGAUAGUGUUAAAUUGGGCAGCAGGUUAAGUCUAUUUCCCACUUUUAGUAAACACAUUUCUUACCAAAUAUGGAAAUUUAUUUCAAUAAAAACACUGCCUCACUGUGAGAAGUAUGUACACGUGAUUCGAUGACAUAUUUUUACUCACUGUAGCAAAUAAAUAAAUAAAG